rnacentral:lncRNA from 10 species
UUUUUUUUGAGGUGGAGUCUCGUUCUGUCUGGUGGCGGGCACCUAUAGUGUCAGCUGCUGGGGAGGCUGAGGUAGGAGAAUCUCUUGAACUGGGGAGGCGGAGGUCACAGUGAGCCGAGAUUACACCACUGCAGUCCAGCCUGGGUGACAGAGCAAGACUCCAUCCCAGCAAUUUUGGGAGGCUGAGGCGGGUGGAUCACCUGAGGUCAGGAGUUCAAGACCAGCCUGACCAACAUGGUGAAACCCCAUAUCUACUAAAAAUACAAAAAGUAGCCGGGCAUGGUGGUGGGCACCUGUAGCCCCAGCUACUCAGGAGGCUGAGGCAGGAGAAUCGCUUGAACCCGGGAGGCGGAGCUUGCAGUGAGCUGAGAUCGUGCCAUUGCACUCCAGCCUGGGCGACAGAGUGAGACCCUGUCCAGGCUCCAGGAGUUCACAGGUGUGGUGCAGGGGAUUGGGGUGGCAGAGGCAGCCCAUGGCCAUGGGGCUCCUUUGUCUUUCUUUUUUUUCGGGCAGGGGGCUCCAGGGUUAGCCGCGGAGAGCCCCGUGCGUUGCACACACUUAAUGUGCCAGGCACUGUGCUGUUUCACAUGCACCAUCUCGAUGAGUCACCUUAUGAGGCAGACCUCCCUCAGUUCACAUAACAACAGUGUCUAGAGGAACAUGCAUAGCCCUCAGUUCACAUAACAACAGCGUCUAGAGGAACAUGCAUAGCUCUCUCUACCUCUCUCUCUCUCUCACACACACACACACAGAGACACACACACACACACACACACACACAUACACACAUACACAGAGGCUGGGUACGGUGGCUUACGCUGGGUAGGGGUGACUGUCUACUGAGUUCCCAGAUGACCCCAGCUUUUCCUUGGGCCCCUCUGUCUGGCUUGGGAGAACUGGCACCCUGGUGCACUGAGAUUGUGCUGUUAAUAUAUUCAUGGGGAAAGGGUCCACUUUGUGAACGGGGUCCUGAAGGCAAGCUUUCCUCGACAUAAAUCAUUAGCAGAAUGAUUUAUCAUAUUGGUCAGUUUUCAGUGCCAGGAUAGGCAGGAUUUGGAGGGAGAGACAGUACCCAUGGGGAAUGGUACUAAGUCAGGGAUUUAAGCAAUCAGCCAGUAAGUGCCCUGGCCAGGACGAGGUUGGGUGGGCCAUUGUGACCCGUGGCCUCCCAGCCUGGGCGGGUGUCAGAGCCGGCUGAGCUGCUCCAAAAUCUCUCUUUACCCCCAGACCUGUGAGCCGUCCCCAGCUCCUUCCGGAACCCUCCCUCUGACCCUGUGAACCCUCCCCCAGCCCGUUCCGGAACCCUCCCUCUGACCCUGUGACCCCUCCCCCAGCCCCUUCCGGAACCCUCCCUCUGACCCUGUGACCCCUCCCCCAGCCCCUUCCGGAACCCUCCCUCUGACCCUGUGACCCCUCCCCCAGCCCCUUCCGGAACCCUCCCUCUGACCCUGAACCCUCCCUCUGACCCUGUGACCCCUCCCCCAGCCCCUUCCCGUCUCAAACACACAGGCCCACUCCCUGGUCUGGCCCAGGCUGGGGUGCUCAGGGCCUCUGUGUUGUUCACCUGCAAAUCCCCAGCCCCGUUCUGUGUGUUCUGAGGCCCACCUGGGUCUUCUUUCUGUUGCUCCAGCUGGAGGCUUCUUGGGGUAGCUGCACUGUCCUUUCUGCAGGAAAGCUGGUUUUUUUGGUUUUUUUUUUUUUGAGAAAGAGUCACUUGGUCGCCCAGGCUGGAGUGCAGUGGUGCCAUCUCAGCUCACUGCAACUUCCACACCCCAGGUUCAAGCGAUUGUCCUGCCUCAGCCUCCCGAGUAGCUGGGACUACAGGCAUGUGCCACCACGCCGGGCUCACUUUUGUAUUUUUAGUAGAGAUGGGGUUUCACCAUGUUGGUCAGGCUGGUCUCAAACUCCUGACCUCAGGUGAUCUGCCCACCUUGGCCUCCCAAAGUGCUGGGAUUUACAGGCGUGAGCCACCUUGCCCGGCCAGGAAAGCUGUUCUGAUGGAGAAUGGCCCAGCUGGGCAGCUGCAGGGGCUAAGUGGAGUAAGCCACCUGCACUGUAUGCCCGCACUGUGACCUCUGACGUUGUUUCACGCUGCAGAGGGUUGGCCAUAGUGUCCCAAAGGCACCUCCCACACCACCUCUGGUACCCUGGGAACAACCUCGGCAUCUCCCUGGAGGUGGGAGGACUGCUGGGGUCCGAGCCCAGGGCGGGUGUGGGUUUGCAGAGGGCCUGGGGUCCGUGCCGGUGCUGUGGCCUCAGCAGUUGGGUCCCAAGGUAGAUUUUCAGCCUGAAGGCCAGGGUGGAAGAUGGAAAUGCCGGGGAAAGCCCCCGGCCCUGCCCUCCCGCCCCAGCCCUCCACUGCCUUGUUACCUGGAGCGCUUGGUGGUGGUGGGAGCCUCGUUCACCGUGUGCCAGCUGGGUUCCCAGCCCUGUUCUUGGUACUGCGGGUACACCGGCAGGCAGGAAAACCCAGGCUUCUCUCCACAUGGUGUUUACGUCGUGGGGGGAGAGAGACUAGGGACGCACGAGUAGAGAAGAUCCCUUUGGUUUAUGUUAAGUGCAGCGGAGGAAACCACAGCACCCUGGGCUUGGGGAUGUGGGCGUUGUUGGUCGUCACCGCGGCAGGGGAUGCUCCGAGCAUUCAGGACCCAGAGGCAGGGCUGCUAAACGCCUCCCACCCCAAAUGCCGCUGUUGAGG